UUCUGAAUAAAUUAAUCAACGUGUGACAAUUAUUACGUAUUUCUUCCUAAUUUCAUAAAUACCAAUAUCCCCACAUUCAAGGUAAUAUAAGAAAAUAAAUUCAAAAACAAGGGUCCGCUGUAUAAGAAUAACGAAAAGUAUUUUGAUUUUUUUUUCCAAAAAUUCAUUAAACUGGACUAGUCACGUGUUCGCAAACUUCUGAGUCAAUGCUGUCACUCAUUCGAAUUCGAAUUGAAAAUUCGAAAUUGCUGAGAGAAAAUCGCAAAAAAAUUUGCAAAAAAAUGUACGAUACUUGGAUUUUCUUAAAGAAAUACUGUCGGUCAACUUUGGCUCAGCUAUUUUUGGAAAAACCUCCGAAUUGCUGCUUGAGUUCCGAAAAGGAGAAAGUUAGAUAAAAAAACGAUUUGCGCUCAAUCGCGCCGAUGCCAAGGAAGAGCCUAAUUUUUCUGAAUCCGCAAGUAUCCACAAUUAAAUUAACACAAGCUAAGCUGCAAAAUUUUCCAUAACUCGCACGGCCGACUAUCCUGUUAAAGUAAUUGCACAAAAAAAUAUAAUUGCAAAACUAUAAAUAUUAACUUGCAGGUCCGACGAUAAACGCAAUACUGUUUACAGCGACUGGAUUGCAUUCUGCCGUGCAAUAUGUGCACACGUGUGUUUUCUCACUUAACAAUGUAAUACGACUAACGAGGAGCAAUUCACGUGGAAUCAAAAUAAGAUACUUCUAAGAACGAGACAGUUGCUAAAGUCAAGAUGAAGUGGAGCAUCCUUCUGGUGAUGCUGGCAGCCAUCCUCUUCCACGAGACUAUGGCCCAAGGCCGAUGCAGACCACCAUGCCGUCAUCCUCGAAGAUGCGUUCGUGUCAACUGCCCAACACCACGUUGUCCAGUCAGAUACCACUGUGUAUAGAUAGGGAGAAGAAAUAAAGGUGCAUUCACAAUGGACAACAUCGAAUGACGACCUGCAAGUACACGGAAAUGAAAAUCUUGAAAACAUUCUUUAAUGAGAAAUAAUAAUGCAAUAACUUCUUCUUUUUAUCAUUUUGUAAUGAUUAUUAUUAUUAUUAAAACUCUGAAUAAAUUAAUAAACGUGUGACAAUUAUUACGUA